CCUGUGCAGGAUACUUGGGAGCCUCAGCUGACAGAGAGAAGCUUGGACAUUUCACUGCUGCUAGACUUUCUGGGAAGAUGUAGUUAGGACUAACUCAGUGGGCAGUCAUGCUCCCUUUUGUCUGACAAAAGAGCAGGCUGCAUGACACGUCUGUGUAGUUAAGAAGAGAAAUGGGAAGUAUCAACAGAUUAACUGCAGGGAGGUCAAUUAACAGACAUUGGACCAGGAAACAGCUGGAGAACAUGAUAGUCACACCUGCUGCAUUGGAUCUGUCACACAGCACUUUGAAGAUUUGAACUGCACCAUAUUAUGGGAAUCGUUGGGAGUCAUAAAAGAAAGAGUCGGUGUUGCAAGAGGAGUAUGAUAAUGAAGCCUAAAGUCAGAGACUUA